GCCUCUGUGGUGUAGUGGUUGAACAUGUUGUGUUAGACACUCAAUUUGCAGGUCGCUGGUUCAAUUCCCUAUGGUGGCA